rnacentral:rRNA from 1 species
GUGGGGAAUUUUGGACAAUGGGCGCAAGCCUGAUCCAGCAAUGCCGCGUGCAGGAAGAAGGCCUUCGGGUUGUAAACUGCUUUUGUACGGAACGAAACGGCUCUGGUUAAUACCUGGGGCUAAUGACGGUACCGUAAGAAUAAGCACCGGCUAACUACGUGCCAGCAGCCGCGGUAAUACGUAGGGUGCAAGCGUUAAUCGGAAUUACUGGGCGUAAAGCGUGCGCAGGCGGUUGUGUAAGACAGGCGUGAAAUCCCCGGGCUCAACCUGGGAAUUGCAUCUGUGACUGCACGGCUGGAGUGCGGCAGAGGGGGAUGGAAUUCCGCGUGUAGCAGUGAAAUGCGUAGAUAUGCGGAGGAACACCGAUGGCGAAGGCAAUCCCCUGGGCCUGCACUGACGCUCAUGCACGAAAGCGUGGGGAGCAAACAGGAUUAGAUACCCUAGUAGUCC